AUGGGAAUCGACGUUGUGAUACCAUAUCACAACGGAGAAUGUUUGUUGGCCUGUAAUAAGCAGUAUGAAGGGAUCAUGACGCCUGAACUUGCUGAGGCUUUGGCUUGCCACCAUGCCCUGACCCUUGCCCGUGAUGAGGGUUUCUCUAAAAUAAUCCUAGCCUCCGGCUGUCUCUCUUUGGUCCAGAGAUUUGGUGCCGCCUUCAGGGAUCGAUCUACAGUAGGUACGAUGAUUGCUGAUAUUAAAUCCUUGGCGAUAGGUUUUGAAGCUUGCUUUUUUAUUCAUGUAAAACGUUUGUUGAAUGUACCAGCACACAAUUGCUCAUAG
rnacentral:rRNA from 1 species